GACUGUUCCGGUGGCCUAGUGGUUAGAGCGUUCGCCUUGAAAGCUGAAGAUCGUGGGUUCUUUCCCCGGUUAAGUCA